GAUGAACGCUGGCGGCGUGCCUAAUACAUGCAAGUCGAGCGAACAGAUGAGGAGCUUGCUCCUCUGACGUUAGCGGCGGACGGGUGAGUAACACGUGGAUAACCUACCUAUAAGACUGGGAUAACUUCGGGAAACCGGAGCUAAUACCGGAUAAUAUAUUGAACCGCAUGGUUCAAUAGUGAAAGACGGUUUUGCGGUCACUUAUAGAUGGAUCCGCGCCGCAUUAGCUAGUUGGUAAGGUAACGGCUUACCAAGGCAACGAUGCGUAGCCGACCUGAGAGGGUGAUCGGCCACACUGGAACUGAGACGCGGUCCAGACUCCUACGGGAGGCAGCAGUAGGGAAUCUUCCGCGAUGGGCGAAAGCCUGACGGAGCAACGCCGCGUGAGUGAUGAAGGUCUUCGGAUCGUAAAACUCUGUUAUUAGGGAAGAACAAAUGUGUAAGUAACUAUGCACGUCUUGACGGUACCUAAUCAGAAAGCCACGGCUAACUACGUG
rnacentral:rRNA from 1 species